ensembl:lncRNA CASTOR3P CASTOR family member 3, pseudogene
AGAAAAGCUCACCGCAUCAGCUGGUUGCCCAGGCCAGGACCUGAAGGGUUGUGUGGAGUCUGGAAAUAUUGUGGACCCAAGAACCUUGACCUCUCGGUGCCUGCGACGGGCUGACUGCUGGGAAUGAAGCAGGAUCAAUGAUGGGAUAAAAAUCAAGGGGCCUUGGUGUACCUUGUUGUAGUGUUUGAAAACAUCUGAGGCUGCAUCCAUCUCCAGCACCCCAUAAAGCAACAGCUUGCAGAACCCGGCUAGGAGGCGGCGCCGCUGGUGUAGCCGCUCUAUCUGUAAAUGAUCCUCCUGGGAAUCACCUGGCUCACAUGGAAGGCAAAAGGGAAUCACAGACUUAAGCUUCCUGCCCUAUAUUUCUGAGCUACACCCAAGCCCCAGCCCUUACUGAGCCCCAGGUAUAGAGUCACUGCACCACUGCCCAGGUCUCCCGGCUGGAUGAAGACGUGGUCCAUGAGGAAGCUGGCUAGCUCAGACUGGAGAGUAGCUUCAGGAAAAAAGACAAGUGGCCUAAGGAAAUCACGGCCCCCAACAAUCAUCUGA